rnacentral:lncRNA from 1 species
GGAGCUCCCCCGGGGUCACAGUGACCUUGAUGCGAACGCGCGGGCUCGGAGGAACCCCCACUUUCCCGCGCGCCCCAGGGGCGUGCGGGGACGGGGAGCGCGGCGCCGGCGUGCCCACACGCGUGUGGCAAAAUAAGACCAGGCCGGGUCCGCACCAGCUUUUUCGUAUCAUUCGCGAUUCCCCGCCCCGCCCCGGUGCCGGAACCCGAGGUGCCGCUGUGCGCUCUCCCCGCCCGCUCAUCCCGAGCCCCGACGUGGCGGGCAGCGCCCCCAGACCACAGCGAGGCGGCUUCCUGGAGGGCGGAGGGGCGGGGUUCUACCCCAGCUGGGCACUUCCUUGCUGCGGACCUUGCUCUGGGCCGGCCUCUCUCCGGACCUGUGUCCUGCUCCAAGCGCACCUUGCCCAGUCUCCUCGAAACUGCAGUCCCUGCUGGGACCCGCGUGCUUCUGGUGAUCUGCAAAAUGUGUCCAGGAGGAGGGGCCUCUGGUCUCUGUCCCCGUGUGGCUUGAUGAACUGA